rnacentral:rRNA from 2 species
UAGUAACUGCGAGUGAAGCGGGAAAAGCUCAAAUUUAAAAUCUGGUAGUCUUUGGCUGCCCGAGUUGUAGUCUGGAGAAGUGUCUUCCGCGCCGGACCGUGUACAAGUCUCUUGGAACAGAGCGUCAUAGAGGGUGAGAAUCCCGUCUUUGACACGGACUACCGGUGCUUUGUGAUGCGCUCUCAAAGAGUCGAGUUGUUUGGGAAUGCAGCUCAAAAUGGGUGGUAAAUUCCAUCUAAAGCUAAAUAUUGGCGAGAGACCGAUAGCGAACAAGUACCGUGAGGGAAAGAUGAAAAGCACUUUGGAAAGAGAGUUAAACAGUACGUGAAAUUGCUGAAAGGGAAACGCUUGAAGUCAGUCGCGUCGUCCAGAACUCAACCUGGCUUUAUUUGCUGGGUGCACUUUCUGGUAGACGGGCCAACAUCAGUUUUGACUGCUGGAAAAAAGCCUUUGGAAUGUGGCACCUUCGGGUGUGUUAUAGCCUUGGGUUGUAUACAGUGGUGGGGACUGAGGACCGCAGCACGCCUUUAUGGCCGGGGUUCGCCCACGUACGUGCUUAGGAUGUUGGCGUAAUGGCUUUAAGCGACCCGUCUUGAAACACGGACCAAGGAGUCUAACAUGCCUGCGAGUGUUUGGGUGGCAAACCCGAGCGCGCAACGAAAGUGAAAGUUGGGAUCCCUGUCGUGGGGAGCACCGACGCCCAUACCAGACCUUCUGUGACGGAUAUGCGGUUGAGCAUGUAUGUUGGGACCCGAAAGAUGGUGAACUAUGCCUGAAUAGGGUGAAGCCAGAGGAAACUCUGGUGGAAGCUCGUAGCGAUUCUGACGUGCAAAUCGAUCGUCAAAUUUGGGUAUAGGGGCGAAAGACUAAUCGAACCAUCUA